AUUGAACGCUGGCGGCAGGCCUAACACAUGCAAGUCGAGCGGAUGAAGGGAGCUUGCUCCUGGAUUCAGCGGCGGACGGGUGAGUAAUGCCUAGGAAUCUGCCUGGUAGUGGGGGACAACGUCCGGAAACGGGCGCUAAUACCGCAUACGUCCUGAGGGAGAAAGUGGGGGAUCUUCGGACCUCACGCUAUCAGAUGAGCCUAGGUCGGAUUAGCUAGUUGGUGGGGUAAAGGCCUACCAAGGCGACGAUCCGUAACUGGUCUGAGAGGAUGAUCAGUCACACUGGAACUGAGACACGGUCCAGACUCCUACGGGAGGCAGCAGUGGGGAAUAUUGGACAAUGGGCGAAAGCCUGAUCCAGCCAUGCCGCGUGUGUGAAGAAGGUCUUCGGAUUGUAAAGCACUUUAAGUUGGGAGGAAGGGCAGUAAGUUAAUACCUUGCUGUUUUGACGUUACCAACAGAAUAAGCACCGGCUAACUUCGU
rnacentral:rRNA from 1 species